rnacentral:rRNA from 1 species
GAUGAACGCUGGCGGCGUGCCUAAUACAUGCAAGUCGAGCGAACGGACGAGAAGCUUGCUUCUCUGAUGUUAGCGGCGGACGGGUGAGUAACACGUGGAUAACCUACCUAUAAGACUGGGAUAACUUCGGGAAACCGUAGCUAAUACCGGAUAAUAUUUUGAACCGCAUGGUUCAAAAGUGAAAGACGGUCUUGCUGUCACUUAUAGAUGGAUCCGCGCUGCAUUAGCUAGUUGGUAAGGUAACGGCUUACCAAGGCAACGAUGCAUAGCCGACCUGAGAGGGUGAUCGGCCACACUGGAACUGAGACACGGUCCAGACUCCUACGGGAGGCAGCAGUAGGGAAUCUUCCGCAAUGGGCGAAAGCCUGACGGAGCAACGCCGCGUGAGUGAUGAAGGUCAUCGGAUCGUAAAACUCUGUUAUUAGGGAAGAACAUAUGUGUAAGUAACUGUGCACAUCUUGACGGUACCUAAUCAGAAAGCCACGGCUAACUACGUG